rnacentral:lncRNA from 1 species
GCAUGCAAGUCUAUGCUUCAAAUCUUGUCCCACUAGCCAAAAAAUGCCCACUGAAAAUGAGAAGAAUAUUCAUAAAUGUGUUACGGAAUCUACUCUCGAAGGAGAAGCUGGAACAGUCAGAAUUGGCUCAAGACAUUUUGCUGUGUAGGGCAAAAGGAAUGUACAAAAAGCCGAUAGAGAUGCACAUGUGACAGUACUACCACCACAUCUAAAAACAGAGUAAAAUUAAUGAUGUCUAAGACAUUUCUUUGCAAUCUGGCAACUGGCUCAAUUACUUAAAUGCAACCACUUGGCUCAGUUAUGGGACUAUUUCAGAACUUGUGACCUGGAUAUGAUAUUUCUGAAGAAUAAAUAGGUUGCUUAUAAACAGGACAGCCAAGCAUUCUCUCAGACAUUCACUGAGCAUAAGAAGCAUGAACUGUCAGAAGUCAAAGAAUGUGCUUUGCCAAUUUCCUGUUCACGUUGACUAUCUGCAGGGAUCCCAAGAAAAUGGCUUACAGGAAGUCACCAGCAUCCUCUCCUUUGUUUCCCUGGAACCAAAGCACAAUAUUAAUGCAGAGAUCAAUGGAGAAGAAGGGAGCCUGUGUGUGUACUUCAUCUGUGGACACAGCAUGGUGUUUUGGGCUAGUCAGAGAGCCUCAAGAUCAAGCUGUGGACUGCUGCUCUUGUGCAACCAGUUUACCACCAGCCAGUUUACCAUGCUGACAAAAACUGCUAACUGGAACCCCAGCACCACAUUUCCCCAAGUGAAUUAUGCCAGCCAUGGAGAGAGAAUGGAAAAAUGGUCAUCUCAUCAUUCUGCUCGCCUGUCAAGGAGAUGUGGAAAUGUGCUGGCAUUCCAGCUGAAGACAUCAUUAUGA